rnacentral:rRNA from 1 species
GGUUAAGCGACUAAGCGUACACGGUGGAUGCCCUGGCAGUCAGAGGCGAUGAAGGGCGUGCUAAUCUGCGAUAAGCGCCGGUAAGGUGAUAUGAACCGUUAUAACCGGCGAUACCCGAAUGGGGAAACCCAGUGUGACUCGUCACACUAUCAUUAACUGAAUCCAUAGGUUAAUGAGGCGAACCGGGGGAACUGAAACAUCUAAGUACCCCGAGGAAAAGAAAUCAACCGAGAUUCCCCCAGUAGCGGCGAGCGAACGGGGAGGAGCCCAGAGCCUGAAUCAGCAUGUGUGUUAGUGGAAGCGUCUGGAAAGGCGCGCGAUACAGGGUGACAGCCCCGUACACAAAAGCGCAUGUGCUGUGAGCUCGAUGAGUAGGGCGGGACACGUGGUAUCCUGUCUGAAUAUGGGGGGACCAUCCUCCAAGGCUAAAUACUCCUGACUGACCGAUAGUGAACCAGUACCGUGAGGGAAAGGCGAAAAGAACCCCGGCGAGGGGAGUGAAAAAGAACCUGAAACCGUGUACGUACAAGCAGUGGGAGCACAGGUUUACCUGUGUGACUGCG